AAAAGUUUUAUUUUUGUUUAAAAAUUAAGUAUAAUUUUAAUUUACAUAUAAAUUUUUAUGAGAUUUUUAAUUAAUUUAAAUAAUUAAUAAAUUUAUGUUGUAGUAAGUAAUUUUAAAUAUUAAUGAAAAUUAGAUUUAGUAAAAGUUAUUAGUAUUAACUAAAUUUGUGCCAGCAGUUGCGGUUAUACAAAUAGUACAAUUUAAUUAGUUUUAGUAUUAAUAAAUUGAUUAUAAUUUAAUAAAUAAAAUUUUAUUAGGUGAAAUUUUAAAGUUUUAAAAGUAUAUUUUUAAAUUAUUUAAUAAAUUUUAGUAUUAAACUAGGAUUAGAUACCCUAUUAUAAAAAAUAUGAAUUAUUUACUAGAUUAGUAAUAGUUAUGUUCUUAAAAAUUAAAAAAUUUGGCGGUAUUUUAGUCUAUUCAGAGGAACCUGUUCUGUAAUUGAUAGUCCACGAUUAAAUUGACUUUAAUUAUUAAUUUAUAUAUCGUUGUAGUUUGAAUAUUUUUAAAGAAUUUAAUAUUCAAGAUUUAAAUGUUAAAGAAAAUCAAAUCAAGGUAUAGUUUAUAUUAAAGUAGAAAUGGGUUACAUUAAUUUUAUUUUAGGAUUAAUUGUUUAAAAUUAUUAUGAAUUUGGAUUUGAAAGUAAAAUUAUAAAUAUUUAUAAUUUGAUUUAAGCUCUAAAAUAUGCACAUAUUGCCCGUCGCUUUCAUAUAAUAUGAAAUAAGUCGUAACAAAGUAGGCCUACCGGAAGGUGGGCCUAGAAAGACA
rnacentral:ncRNA from 1 species